GGCCGCGUGGCCUAAUGGUAAGGCGUCUGACUACGAUUCCCUUUGGGUUGUAAUCAGGAGAUUGCAGGUUCGAGACCUGCCGCGGUCA
rnacentral:tRNA from 1 species